UGGGGAAUCUUGCGCAAUGCGCGAAAGCGUGACGCAGCAACGCCGCGUGGGGGAAGAAGGCCUUCGGGUUGUAAACCCCUUUCAGUUGGGACGAAGCCUUCCCUGGUUAAGAGCUAGGGGGGUGACGGUACCUUCAGAAGAAGCUCCGGCUAACUACGUGCCAGCAGCCGCGGUAAUACGUAGGGAGCAAGCGUUGUCCGGAAUCAUUGGGCGUAAAGAGCGUGUAGGCGGCUCGGUAAGUCCGCUGUGAAAGUCCAGGGCUCAACCCUGGAAGGCCGGUGGAAACUGCCGGGCUAGAGUCCGGAAGAGGCGAGUGGAAUUCCCGGUGUAGCGGUGAAAUGCGCAGAUAUCGGGAGGAACACCAAUGGCGAAGGCAGCUCGCUGGGACGGUACUGACGCUGAGACGCGAAAGCGUGGGGAGCAAACAG
rnacentral:rRNA from 1 species